GGUCCCUGCGCAGCGCGCACCCGCCGCGAUGCCCGCGCCGGCGGCCCGGGGUGGGGGCGGGGAGCGCGGUCUUCGCCCCUUCUGUCCCCGCGGUCGCCGCCGGCGCCGCCCCCCGAGGCGAGGAGCGGGCGCCGGGACCCGGUAGCACGGGCGGAGGUGGGGGUUCCCCGGCGGCGGCCCGUAUCGCGGCUUUCUCAGGGAGCGGGGCCGCGCGCGGACCGAGACCCCGGGCCAGAGCGCGGGCCGCGCUAGGGGCCCCCUCUCCUGGGCUCCUGGGACAGGCCUGAAGAGGAACCAGGGCGAUGGCGGCGCCCUCUCUCUGGGAGGCGUCAUCUCAGGCCAGUGAGAAGAAUUCUUCACUAUCAAAUUCUCAUCGUCAGAUGGAAUUAGGAUAUCCUCGACCUACAUUCCUGAGGACACAUAACAAUUAUGGGAUAAAGAAGUACAGCAUCUUAAGUUACAAACUAUUUUACCAAGUCUUAUUUAUUUACAUUAAACUAAAAUUAACUGUCAAGUAAGAACGCUGAUACUUAAAAAUAAGGUAAAUUGCUACUAUAAAAAAAUGUAAUCUUUACCAUGUAACUGAAUAAUAGAAUCCUAAAUUUUAUCAGUAAUAUUAAGAAAAUUUAUUUACUUAAUAGUACUUCCUUUUACAGAGGUGCUUGGAGUAUAGCGGGUCUGUUUCAGAUAUCCUAAUGGGAUUUUUUUUUUCUUUCAGAAAACAGCAAUUAUAAUUUGCUGCUUUCUGAAAAGAGUUUUUAAAAAGGUUCAGAAGGAAGAAAUUUUGUCAGGGUUAGUUUUGGGAUAGGUUUAUUCUAGCAGGCUUUGUGGCACAGGUCCCCUGAGUCAUUGUGAGACUCCAGUAUAUGCCAUGUGUCAGAAAUUAAACUGCCACCAAUUGACAACUAAACUUGAUACCCUUAGUCCUGAGCAUUUCAGGAUGUCAUACAUAAACCAGUCCAAUCUUUGAAGGAUUUUUUUUCUCUUAGCCAUUCUACAGAAUUGCAGGACUGCCUAAUUUACAGGCUUUUUUUUUUUUUUUUAAAGCACCAUCUUUAAAAAUUCCUGUAAAUUCAAAAAGUGUUUGGUAACUGAAAAUUUUUUAGGUAUUUCAUGCUAAGCUGAAAACGUUACCAAAUAUGAUGAAACCAAAUAUAAUGAAGCUACAGCUAAGAAAAAUCUACCCACAUAAUUAAAUUUUUAUUGAGUAUAAAUAAUUUUUUUCUUGAUCUUCAGCCCCAAUAUACUCUUCUAUCCAACUGGAUAAAUAAAAGCUAAAAUAUAAUUUACUUAGCUUUUUUUUGAAAUAAAAACAUAUCCUAAACUGGUUUUGUGAUAAUGUUUUUAAUAUAAGUAUUUAAAAAUCCAUCUUAACGGAAUACUUGGAAGAGCCAACUUUUAGUUUAGUGGGGCUGACAGUAAUCAAAGAAUGCAGUUGCUAUAAUGGCUACUGUUUAUUGACUGACAGCUGUGGCGUGGCAGGCAUUAUUCUUGUGGUCUUGUAUUUAUCAACUUUAAUCCUUAUAGUAACACUGCAAGGUAGGUAUUUAGCCUCAUUUUAUUGGUAAGGAAAGAGAAGCUUAAAGAGAUCAAAGUGCCUUGCUUGCUAAGUUUACACAUCUGGUAAAUUUGCUCAGCAGAUAUCUGAGAGCGUACUCUUUGUUGGCCCUGACACUCUGCUGGGUCUGACACUGCAGCUGUGAACAAGAUAAGAUCUUCAUUCUAAAGGAGCUUACAUUUUAGUCGUAAAGUCCGGAUUUGAACACAGGGUGUCUAAUCCUAAAAUUUUCUUCUUAGCUUUCACAUUCUCUCCUGCCAACGACACUAGAGGAGAUGGAUAAAACUGUUUCAGUGCCACUUAACAAAGUGGGUGGAGAUGUCAGCUAUAUACUGGAGUGUGCUGUAGAAAAGUAAUAUUGGUAUAGGAGUAUGGAGACAGGUCAGAGGAAAAACUCUAGGACCCAUAGCUCUGUGGUGGGGAAUGGGAAGCCUAUGCUACGUACCAGUCUUGGUUUAUGGUCACCUGCAGAUAAUGUGCAAGGCAACAACAAUGCCAUGUCCUUGCUGCUACAUCUCAAAUAGCCUUAAGGAUCAGUAUUAUCUCACUGUAAAACCCUGCACUGUCCAACAUAGUAGCCAUUAACCACUUUCAAGUACUUAAAUGUGGCUAGUACAAUCAAGGAACUGAAUUUUAAAUUUUUAGAAAUCUUAAUUUGAAAAUUGCUACCUGAUGCAGAGUUACUAGCUCUUUUAAGCAUGUUUGGAACAACUUGCAUGUAUGAAUCUAGUUUUUCAACUACAUUUUAGGAAAUAAAUACAGAUCAAGUAUUUCUGAUAAAAAUUUAGCAUCUGAAUUAAGAUUUGUUAUGAUAUAAAAUGUAUAGAUUUUGAAAACUUAUCCCUUAUUUUUAAAAUAUUGAUCACAUGCUGAAAUGAUACUAUUUUGGACACAUUAGAUUAAAUACAAUAUUAUUAAAUUUAGUUUCAACGGCUUUAUUUUUUGUUUUAUUUUUAUAUGUAUCUUCCAGGUAAUUUUAAAUUACAUACGUGGCUUGCAUUUAUUUGUAUUGGACAGUGCUGGUAUAAUCAAAGGAGCCUGGUGAAGAAUAUCUGGUCCCUAUAUUUUAUUUCUGGCAUCAAAAUAUUUUCCUAGUAUAUCUCACUACCCUUUUAUCAAAAGUUAUGUAUUACUCGUCAUUCUUUCUAUUAAUGUUAAGAAUCAUGCUAAUAAGACUGCCAAUAUUUAUUCCUGUAAUAGAAAUAUAAAAAUUUUACACAUCACUUAUAUUGUCAGUGUGUAAUUGUGCACAUAUAACAUUUAUUUUCAGAGUAUUUCCCAUAGUAAGUUUUUAUUUAUUUUUUUUAAAAGAUUUUAUUUAUUUGACAGAGACACAGCAAGAGAGGGAACACAAUCAAGGGGAGUGGCAGAGGGAGGGGGAGAAGCAGGCUUCCCGCUGAGCAGGGAGCCUGAUGCGGGGCUAGAGCCCGAUGCGGGGCUAGAGCCCGAUGCGGGGCUCGACCCCAGGACCCUGAGACCAUGACCUGAGCUGAAGGCAGAUGCUUAAUGACUGAGCUACCCAGGCACCUCCCCCUCCACCCCCCGCCACAUAGUAAGUUUUUAAAAAUAGAAAGUAAACUUAGGUAUUUGUGGGACUAUAUUCAAGGACUGACAGAUUUUGGGGAGAAAUACUUUACUUUAUAUAAUAUGCAAUAUAUAUUUCCAGGACAAAAGCAAACAUAAAAAGUAUAAAAAUAAAAUGACACAAACAC
ensembl:lncRNA